GCCUACGGGGCGCAGCAGUAGGGAAUAUUGCUCAAUGGGGGAAACCCUGAAGCAGCAACGCCGCGUGGAGGAUGAAGGUUUUCGGAUUGUAAACUCCUUUUGUUAGGGAAGAUAAUGACGGUAUCUAACGAAUAAGCACCGGCUAACUCCGUGCCAGCAGCCGCGGUAAUACGGAGGGUGCAAGCGUUACUCGGAAUCACUGGGCGUAAAGAGCGCGUAGGCGGGAUAGCAAGUCAGAUGUGAAAUCCUAUGGCUUAACCAUGGAACUGCAUUUGAAACUGUUAUUCCAGAGUAUGGGAGAGGUA
rnacentral:rRNA from 1 species